CCAUCCUCCAAGGCUAAAUACUCCUGACUGACCGAUAGUGAACCAGUACCGUGAGGGAAAGGCGAAAAGAACCCCGGCGAGGGGAGUGAAAAAGAACCUGAAACCGUGUACGUACAAGCAGUGGGAGCCUCUUUAUGGGGUGACUGCGUACCUUUUGUAUAAUGGGUCAGCGACUUAUAUUCUGUAGCAAGGUUAACCGAAUAGGGGAGCCGAAGGGAAACCGAGUCUUAACUGGGCGUUAAGUUGCAGGGUAUAGACCCGAAACCCGGUGAUCUAGCCAUGGGCAGGUUGAAGGUUGGGUAACACUAACUGGAGGACCGAACCGACUAAUGUUGAAAAAUUAGCGGAUGACUUGUGGCUGGGGGUGAAAGGCCAAUCAAACCGGGAGAUAGCUGGUUCUCCCCGAAAGCUAUUUAGGUAGCGCCUCGUGAAUUCAUCUCCGGGGGUAGAGCACUGUUUCGGCAAGGGGGUCAUCCCGACUUACCAACCCGAUGCAAACUGCGAAUACCGGAGAAUGUUAUCACGGGAGACACACGGCGGGUGCUAACGUCCGUCGUGAAGAGGGAAACAACCCAGACCGCCAGCUAAGGUCCCAAAGUCAUGGUUAAGUGGGAAACGAUGUGGGAAGGCCCAGACAGCCAGGAUGUUGGCUUAGAAGCAGCCAUCAUUUAAAGAAAGCGUAAUAGCUCACUGGUCGAGUCGGCCUGCGCGGAAGAUGUAACGGGGCUAAACCAUGCACCGAAGCUGCGGCAGCGACACUAUGUGUUGUUGGGUAGGGGAGCGUUCUGUAAGCCUGCGAAGGUGUACUGUGAGGUAUGCUGGAGGUAUCAGAAGUGCGAAUGCUGACAUAAGUAACGAUAAAGCGGGUGAAAAGCCCGCUCGCCGGAAGACCAAGGGUUCCUGUCCAACGUUAAUCGGGGCAGGGUGAGUCGACCCCUAAGGCGAGGCCGAAAGGCGUAGUCGAUGGGAAACAGGUUAAUAUUCCUGUACUUGGUGUUACUGCGAAGGGGGGACGGAGAAGGCUAUGUUGGCCGGGCGACGGUUGUCCCGGUUUAAGCGUGUAGGCUGGUUUUCCAGGCAAAUCCGGAAAAUCAAGGCUGAGGCGUGAUGACGAGGCACUACGGUGCUGAAGCAACAAAUGCCCUGCUUCCAGGAAAAGCCUCUAAGCAUCAGGUAACAUCAAAUCGUACCCCAAACCGACACAGGUGGUCAGGUAGAGAAUACCAAGGCGCUUGAGAGAACUCGGGUGAAGGAACUAGGCAAAAUGGUGCCGUAACUUCGGGAGAAGGCACGCUGAUAUGUAGGUGAAGUCCCUCGCGGAUGGAGCUGAAAUCAGUCGAAGAUACCAGCUGGCUGCAACUGUUUAUUAAAAACACAGCACUGUGCAAACACGAAAGUGGACGUAUACGGUGUGACGCCUGCCCGGUGCCGGAAGGUUAAUUGAUGGGGUUAGCGCAAGCGAAGCUCUUGAUCGAAGCCCCGGUAAACGGCGGCCGUAACUAUAACGGUCCUAAGGUAGCGAAAUUCCUUGUCGGGUAAGUUCCGACCUGCACGAAUGGCGUAAUGAUGGCCAGGCUGUCUCCACCCGAGACUCAGUGAAAUUGAACUCGCUGUGAAGAUGCAGUGUACCCGCGGCAAGACGGAAAGACCCCGUGAACCUUUACUAUAGCUUGACACUGAACAUUGAGCCUUGAUGUGUAGGAUAGGUGGGAGGCUUUGAAGUGUGGACGCCAGUCUGCAUGGAGCCGACCUUGAAAUACCACCCUUUAAUGUUUGAUGUUCUAACGUUGGCCCCUGAUCGGGGUUGCGGACAGUGUCUGGUGGGUAGUUUGACUGGGGCGGUCUCCUCCUAAAGAGUAACGGAGGAGCACGAAGGUUGGCUAAUCCUGGUCGGACAUCAGGAGGUUAGUGCAAUGGCAUAAGCCAGCUUGACUGCGAGCGUGACGGCGCGAGCAGGUGCGAAAGCAGGUCAUAGUGAUCCGGUGGUUCUGAAUGGAAGGGCCAUCGCUCAACGGAUAAAAGGUACUCCGGGGAUAACAGGCUGAUACCGCCCAAGAGUUCAUAUCGACGGCGGUGUUUGGCACCUCGAUGUCGGCUCAUCACAUCCUGGGGCUGAAGUAGGUCCCAAGGGUAUGGCUGUUCGCCAUUUAAAGUGGUACGCGAGCUGGGUUUAGAACGUCGUGAGACAGUUCGGUCCCUAUCUGCCGUGGGCGCUGGAGAACUGAGGGGGGCUGCUCCUAGUACGAGAGGACCGGAGUGGACGCAUCACUGGUGUUCGGGUUGUCAUGCCAAUGGCACUGCCCGGUAGCUAAAUGCGGAAGAGAUAAGUGCUGAAAGCAUCUAAGCACGAAACUUGCCCCGAGAUGAGUUCUCCCUGACUCCCUGAGAGUCCUGAAGGAACGUUGAAGACGACGACGUUGAUAGGCCGGGUGUGUAAGCGCAGCGAUGCGUUGAGCUAACCGGUACUAAUGAACCGUGAGGCUUAACCUU
rnacentral:rRNA from 2 species